rnacentral:rRNA from 1 species
GCAGUCGAGCGAACGACGAGGAGCUUGCUCCUUUGACGUUAGCGGCGGACGGGUGAGUAACACGUGGGUAACCUACCUAUAAGACUGGGAUAACUUCGGGAAACCGGAGCUAAUACCGGAUAAUAUUUCGAACCGCAUGGUUCGAUAGUGAAAGAUGGCUCUGCUAUCACUUAUAGAUGGACCUGCGCCGUAUUAGCUAGUUGGUAAGGUAACGGCUUACCAAGGCAACGAUACGUAGCCGACCUGAGAGGGUGAUCGGCCACACUGGAACUGAGACACGGUCCAGACUCCUACGGGAGGCAGCAGUAGGGAAUCUUCCGCAAUGGGCGAAAGCCUGACGGAGCAACGCCGCGUGAGUGAUGAAGGUCUUCGGAUCGUAAAACUCUGUUAUUAGGGAAGAACAAACGUGUAAGUAACUGUGCACGUCUUGACGGUACCUAAUCAGAAAGCCACGGCUAACUACGUGCCAGCAGCCGCGGUAAUACGUAGGUGGCAAGCGUUAUCCGGAAUUAUUGGGCGUAAAGCGCGCGUAGGCGGUUUUUUAAGUCUGAUGUGAAAGCCCACGGCUCAACCGUGGAGGGUCAUUGGAAACUGGAAAACUUGAGUGCAGAAGAGGAAAGUGGAAUUCCAUGUGUAGCGGUGAAAUGCGCAGAGAUAUGGAGGAACACCAGUGGCGAAGGCGACUUUCUGGUCUGUAACUGACGCUGAUGUGCGAAAGCGUGGGGAUCAAACAGGAUU